UUGAACGCUGGCGGCAGGCCUAACACAUGCAAGUCGCGCGGAUGAAGGGAGCUUGCUCCUGGAUUCAGCGGCGGACGGGUGAGUAAUGCCUAGGAAUCUGCCUGGUAGUGGGGGAUAACGUCCGGAAACGGGCGCUAAUACCGCAUACGUCCUGAGGGAGAAAGUGGGGGAUCUUCGGACCUCACGCUAUCAGAUGAGCCUAGGUCGGAUUAGCUAGUUGGUGUGGUAAAGGCCUACCAAGGCGACGAUCCGUAACUGGUCUGAGAGGAUGAUCAGUCACACUGGAACUGAGACACGGUCCAGACUCCUAAGGGAGGCAGCAGUGGGGAAUAUUGGAGAAUGGGCGAAAGCCUGAUCCAGACAUGCCGCGUGUGUGAAGAAGGUCUUCGGAUUGUAAAGCACUUUAAGUUGGGAGGAAAGGCAGUAAGUUAAUACCUUGCUGUUUUGACGUUACCAACAGAAUAAGCACCGGCUAACUUCGUG
rnacentral:rRNA from 1 species